UGAAGCUGCUUGCAUUGAUCUACAAUCCAUCUUGACUUCGGCUAGAAGGAACAACUACUUCUGAAUUUUGGGGUGGCAGAAGUAAGGGCGAGUUGAAUUGUGCAACCGCGGGGAAUGCAUGCACAUGGAAGGGUGGACGUCACGGUUACCCUCGCAGGGACGACUAUGCCAACAACUGUUUGCGCAUUAACUAAUUAAUAGCACAGGCAAAUCUUGCUUUAUCUAAUGUAAGAAGAGGGUCAAAGUUUGUUCAACUAUGCGCACUUUUUUUAACUAAGUAGUAAUACAUACAACAAAGGUUGCCAUCCACGAGCAUUGCCUCGAGUUGCUUGAUGUAUGUGGAUCAUUUGUUUGUAACAUAAUCCAAGUUACGUAUCUGAUGAAGGGGAAAUUGUAUGUACACGUUUUAUGUACCGGUAUAUAUGUGUUGUCUCAAACUAUAAAACAUGAUCAAUGAUAAUUUUUUCAUUAAA